GGGGAAGCCGGUGCGAAUCCGGCGCUGACCCGCAACCGUGAGCCGUUCCGCGAGGACGGUGAGCCGGAAUGCCC
rnacentral:ncRNA from 2 species